rnacentral:lncRNA from 1 species
CUCAUUUGCUUCCAUCCUGUGAACCUCUCAGUGUGUUUCAGAACACCAGGGUCUGAACAGAGAAGCUUCAGAAUACUUUCUCCGACUAGAGAACUUUUUUAUGGUGGGAGGAAAAAAUGUUGCCAGUCCCACUUCACAGACACCUGGAAUUCAUGAAGUCUGAGGACUUCUUUCAUUUUACUUUCAACUAAAAGCUCUAGCACGAAACAGCAAAGGCUCACAGAACUAAAGAUCAGGAGGUGGCCCUGUGAGAGGGUGUUCAGCCUGGAUCCCUGGUGAAACUCCAUCAUUGAGCAGCAUAUCUACUUCAGAAAGCGUGGAAAGAAAAGAGCCUGGUGGGAAAAGUCUAUCAAGUGAUAGUGACGUGCCCUUAUGGAAAAAAUUCUGGGAUAACACCCUCCAAAACCCCGCAAGGUGAAGCUCAUGUCAUCCAAAACCAAGGCAUGAGCCAGAGCCUAAAUAGAGGAAAGAAAAUAGAAGAGAGAAUUCUAGCGACAUAUCUGGUCAUCAUUCCAAGCAACCUGGCUGAACUUUUGCAUCGACAAACAAUUUUUUCUUGAGCAUUUUUAAAUUUACAAGCUGGUUUUCAACAAAGCUUUUCAAAAAGAAGUCUUUAUGAUGAAUUCAACCCAGCCAGCAAGACGGAGGGCCUCCCAAAUGCUGCGAUCUGCU